UGGAACAACUGGGAACUGCCAAGAAGGGGGUCUGUUUAUAAAAGAGCAUCAACUCGCUUAGGCCAUGACGUUCACCCAUCCCUUCCUCUGGAGCAACCGCUGCCCUGUGAAUAAGAGCCGAUGGAGGAGAUCUCAGCUUCGGUGGUGAUGACAGAACAUGAUUUCGGUUCUGCUCCUAAACCAGGUGCACUGGAUGCUGCUGCUGUAAACAUACAGCAAUUGGAAGAAACAGUCAAGGCGCUGAUGAGAGCUGUCACAGCUGAAAGUGCAUUUUCACAGAUUCUGUGUCUCAGACGCGGACAUCCUUUUUUACACCAGAUUCACGUCAAGAGAUGUUUUUUGUGACUUCUGGGAGGUUAUUCAACCAUCUGCCUCCAUGUUGGUUUAUUGGUCGAAAGCUCAGAAAAUAAACAAACAUUUGAACCCAUUUCUCCCAGUCCAACGUGUAGACUGCAACUGGUUGAGUUUUUUCUCUUCUGCUGCCGGGUUGCUGCAGGCCUGCAAGAGAAGGUGCUGGCUGACAUGUUUCAGAGCUGACUGAACGAAGUGGACUGCUGGAUUUACUGGAGCCAGGAGAUGGCUGCAUGGCAGACAAGGGUUUCACCAUCGAGAAGCCACUAGCUGAUCGUGGGGCAACGCUGAUUAUACCACCCUUCAAGAUGACAGUUCACUGAAGAGGAUGCUCU